AAUUAGUAGUUUAUUAAAGGGUUAAAUGCAUAUAGGUCCUUAUGAAUAUAGUGAAUUGUUAAAUGCAUACAGGUUUCUGUAAAUAUAGUAAUUUGCAAAUAUAUUCCUACAAAGUUCAACUUUCUUAUAUUAUCCCUAUAAAAGUUCUAAUAUUUUUAAAUAUAUCCUUCUGGUUUGUUACCAUUAGAAAACUAAUUAUAUUUUAACAGUAAAUAAGUGAAAUAUCAUUUUUAUCAUCACAAAUAUAUCCUUCCAAGAGUCACAAUAGUAUAAUAUAUGAGAGAUAAGAAUAUCAAGUUAUUUCAUAAACUAAUCAGCGUUAAAUAUUUAAUCUAUAGUUAAUUAAAAUUUUUUUACGGAUUCUAACGGCAAAAACAUAUUUGAAAAUAUUAUGACUUUUACUGGAACAUCACAUAAAAGUUAAACUUUGUAGAGAUAUAUUUGUAAUUUACUAUGUUUGCAGAGACCUGUAUACAAUUAAUCCUUUAUUAAAUUACUAGGUGAAU
rnacentral:lncRNA from 1 species